rnacentral:lncRNA from 1 species
CCUCCAUCUCCUGGGAAGAAUGCCUCACCAAUCCCUCCAAGCGCUGGCCAAGAAGCACGGCUCCAUUCUCUUCCUGCGACUUGGGAUUAUCCCUGCUGUGGUGGUUUCUAGCGUUGAUCUGGCAAAAGAAGUACUCAAGAAUCAGGAUUUGACAUUUGCUUCCAGGCCUUACUUUCUUGUCGGAGAGGAUGUUGGCUACCACUUCAUGGGGAUGUCCCUCGCAGGUUACGGUGAUCACUGGAAGAAGUUGCGGAGACUCUACACUUUGGAGCUCUUCACCGCUAAAAGGAUUGAUUCUUUCCUCUCGCUGCGCUUGGAGGAGCUCUCUCACAUGCUGUCAGCUGUGUUAUAUGCACACGAGAAGAAUCAGGCCGUAAACAUGAGGAACCUCUUGACAUGUUUUACCUUCAACACCAUCACCCGGAUCUUGAUGAACAAGAGGUACUUCCAGCACCAAGGAGAGGAGUUGCAAGGCAUUGAUUCCAGCGAAGCUAGUGUUUUCAAGGCCGUCUUGAGCGAGAUCACAGAGAUCUCCCUGCAGUUUCACAUCAGCGAGUUUGUUCCAGCCUAUCUCAGGUGGAUGGACUUGAGCGUUUAUCACAUGAGGAGGCUGCAUGCUGACCAGGACAAGUUUCUGCAAAAGAUUGUCGAUGAACAUAAGUACGAGAAAAACAAAUCCUCAAAGGACUUCAUGGACCUCAUGCUAGAGCUUUUCGAUGGGGAUCCCAAAGGAGACAACAUGAUAAAAGCUGCAAUGACAGUAAGCCAAAGGCAAUAUUUUAGUCUCAAAACCAGGAACUUAUUAAACUUACUUGCAGGAGCUUGUGUCAGCCGGAACAGAAACAUCAGCAACUACUGUCGAGUGGACCUUCGGAGAGAUCCUCCACCGUGCUCCACACGUCUUGACCAAAGCUCAUGA